GGUGGCGACCUCUCCGCCUUGCACCGCCGUCGCACUGAACUUCUGUCACACCGAAGCUCCGUCACACCCCCUCCCGGCUCUUCUUUGUGUGUGCUCGCGUCGCUUCGUAUCAAACCCUAAUGUGCAGAAAUCGCUCUGUUUCGAUCUCACCUCAGCUGUGCAGGAAAGAAGCUGAAUCCGGUGCUGCGAGACAAGAGACUCAUACCACGAUUCGUACAGCGAGGAGAGUGAGAGCGAUAAGCUUUGGAGGUGGGAUGGAACCUCAUCAGAAGAGGGAGGAUUUGAACAUGAUAAUAGCCUCUCGAAUUUGAAUGAUAGGUUGGGUCACCUCUAUGUUCAAUAUUUUGAAAGAUCAGCACCAUAUGGAAGAGUUCCUCUCAUGGAUAAGGUGAAUUGAGUUGUUUUUAUUCUUCUUUAGUCAUUUCUCUCACUUUUUGCAUCUUUCUGUUUCUUAGUUCAGUUUUGUAGAGCAUAUUUCAUUUUUCUUCAUAUAUAAUGAUAAGAUCAGAUUAGAAGUUGGUGAACUUUUCAGCUCCUUCUUGGUGGAGUCACUUGUAAUUUUGGAAUCCUCUAUCCUUGUGUCAGAUAAUAGUUUUUUAAGAAUGAACCCAAUGAUGCUGACAAAUAAAAACACUAAGGAUUUUAAUAUUGGUGAAAAUAAAAAUAAGAAUUUUUCAUCUAAAACAUAAUUCCUUUCAUGAUAGAGCAUCAAUUAAAGAUAAACUGUCUUGCUUCUCUCAUUUACUUGCACAAUUUUUUUUUACAAAAUACUUGUAAUUUUAUCAUAAAAAAUGCUAUAUACAUACAAAAAAUUAGUCACUAUAUAUUUGUGUAUAAAUACAUGUGUUGUCACUAUAUAUUUGAUUAAAUCAUUGUUAUAUAUAUUGAUUAUUACUGACUCAUAAAUCAAGAGUAUUCAUCAAUUAUACUGCUAACUAGCAGGAAGUGAUGCAAAUAAUUACAAAUGUAAAUAGUAAUUAAUUACUAGUGGUUAAGCAUUAUUAUUUACCUCUAAUCACUGCUAGUGGUUAAGUAUUAUCAAGUCACUAUAUAUUUGUGUAUAAAUAUGUCAAAUUAGAAUGUGGAUGAAUUUUGGAGUAAGUUCUGAUGGCGUUAAGAUAGAGAUGGCCUCUUUGGUGGGAAUGAUGACAUUGACAAAUAGCUGUAAAGAACAAAUUGCUAGCUAGUUUCGAUUAAUCAAUUUCAGUUUUCAAAUUCAACUCAAUAACCUCAGCUAAAGAUGGCCUCCUUAGCAAGCUCAAGAAAGGCCCACUGUGGAAGGCGAAGUUACUUACAAUGGAUACAAGACUAAAGAGUUUGUACCAAGAAAGACCUAAGCAUACAUCAGCCAAAAUAAUGUACAUUUGGGUGAAAUGAUUGUAAAAAAAACUUUCAAUUUCUCGGCUAGAUACUGAUGCGUGAGCAUCUUGUCUAUCUUUUUGGUU